AUCAGAUAUCAGGCGUAAAAUCUCAACCUAAAUGCAGAUUUCUUAACAAACUAAAUCACUGAAGUUAGUCGGCUUUGUCGCCUCGUUCAGUUCGAUCGCAUGCCACUGAUUCCGACUCUCUGCAGAGGAAGAAGAAAACCAAAGCCCACAGAGAAACAGCUGAGGAACUGUUAGAUCCCAUCACUCACACACAGUUGUCAGGUUUGAUUGAUGCUGGAAAAUGGUUGCAGGGGGACGCUGUCACGAUGACGAGAUGAAUUUUCCAUGGACCUCAGGCAUGUCAGAACAUCGUCUUCUGGUUCUAGAGAAAAGUUGGUGACACGUCCUGGAGGUGCUUCACAAACUGAGCAGGCAAGAGGAAGCCUGUCGCUGCAUUCCACACACCCAGAUCAAUCCAGCAACCCGGGAAACAAUGUUUUUCCUCUGAAACAUUAACCUUCAGAUGAUUCCUAUCAGGAUCAUCUGGAUUACUGCAAACAUCACAUAGGACAGCACCAGAGAACAACAAAACGAACAGCAGAUCCAUCUGUAGACUUUAAAGGAGUCUGUAAACACAUCUGUAAACA